UACGUAGGGGGCAAGCGUUAUCCGGAUUUACUGGGCGUAAAGAGCGCGUAGGCGGUUCCGUAAGUUGGUUGUGAAAGUUCACGGCUCAACCUCGAAACUGCGUCCAAUACUGCGGGGCUGGAGUGCAAGAGAGGCAGGUGGAAUUUGCGGUGUAGUAGUGAAAUGCGUAGAUAUCGCAAGGAACACCAGUGGCGAAGGCGGCUUGCUAGCUUGUAACUGACGCUGAGGCGCGAAAGCUAGGGGAGCGAACGGG
rnacentral:rRNA from 1 species